GCCCGCUCAUCUACUUUAGUGGUGGCUGGAGCAGCUCGAUGAUUGAAUUCUAGGCCCUAGGCCCGGUCCGAAGGAAUAAGGGGGAAGUAAUAAGGUUAGUUUAGGUAAGAAAAUGAUAUGGUUGGGAUAAUUGGACGUGACUCUAUUAUUAUCUUUUAGUUUUUUAACCUAUUUUUAGCUGACAGCAGAGUUCUUUAUAAUCGAUCGAAAAAAUAAUAUUUUCUUAUUAUCUCACUGACUCUAU
rnacentral:lncRNA from 1 species